rnacentral:rRNA from 1 species
AGGAUUCCCCUAGUAACGGCGAGUGAAGAGGGAAGAGCCCAGCACCGAAGCCUGCGGCAGGUUUGCUGUUAGGCAAUGUGGUGUUUGGGUCGGCUCGUGGGACCACCACUCCACUCGAAGUCCAGCAUUGAGUAUGGUUACUGGAUUUGGCCCAGAGAGGGUGAAAGGCCCGUACGGGUGGAGUGUCAGACAUGUGAGGUGGUUCACCAGGUCGGCCUUAGAGUCGGGUUGUUUGGGAAUGCAGCCCAAAGUGGGUGGUAAACUCCAUCCAAGGCUAAAUACUAGCACGAGUCCGAUAGCGAACAAGUACCGUGAGGGAAAGUUGAAAAGUACUCUGAAGAGAGAGUAAACAGUACGUGAAACCGCAUGCAGGUAAACGGGUGGCGUCAAGCUGCAAGCCCGGAGAAUUCAGUCGGCUAGGAUGUUGUGAAUGCGCCUGGCGCAUCUAUCAGUCGGAGUAUGAUUGGGUAGUCCACUAGUAGACAGUGGGUCCGGCCGCAAGGUCGGGAUAUGUGUACCGGGUGGGUGCCGGAGCAUGCUAUCCAUCUGUGGACUGUCUAGCCGGUGCACUUUCUCUGUGGUCAACACCACGACCGGUGGUACUGCCAGUCUGCCAUGUCCAAGUCGCAUUUGGUAGGUCCUCGCGGCCAAUCGGGUGCGAUCACAGGCAAGUCCAGUAAACGGCGUGAGGGUGCUUCGGCACUGUUGCGUGUUAUCGGCUACUGGUUGUCAACGGGUCUGCCUAGUGCUUGUUGUAGCCGGCACUGUUGGGUGGCUCGGUGGGCCAUGGUGGUAGGAAUAACUGUGCAGGGCACUGGGGUUAUCGGCCUCAAAUGCGUCCUACGUCCACGUAGCAAGUGGCAUGAUGGCUGUGUCGCUUCUGCCUGCUCGGUGCUGAGUGUGAUUGGCGUGUUGCCUGCGCAAAGUAGGCCCGCCAGUGGCUCGGUCCGGGAUGGGCAGUUGGUGGGGCAGUCGGCGUAGGGCGUGGUGGGCCCAAUAGUCUGUGGUGUSGU